UGAGGUUUGGAGAGGCCCUAUAGACAACAGUCACAGUGGCAGCUACUCACACCCAGUGUCCACUGCUAGCUUCCUCUGACUGAUUCACACCUCUAUUCUUGGGUAUAGGUUUGUCUGAGCAACUGGGGAGUGGCCUCAGAAUAGCACGGGCCAUGGUAGUGGAGUAAAGAAAGGUCAGGAAAAGGGAGUGCUCUAUCUUCCCAGGGUUCACAUUCGAUUUGCUACGUCUUACCAUGUCUUUUCUACUUCCCUGUAAAUACGUGUAAGUCUUGAUUCUCUGUACAGUCAGUUCUGCCUCCUGGUUCCCAUUAGCCCCCUUUUCUUCUCCCUUUUGUUAAUAUCUUGGGUUUAGUUCCUCCUUCAUUCCCCCACUCACUCUUACUUAAUCCAUGUACCACUAGAGGCUCCUCCC
rnacentral:lncRNA from 1 species